rnacentral:rRNA from 1 species
AGUGAACGCUGGCGGUAGGCCUAACACAUGCGAGUCGAACGGCAGCACAGUAAGAGCUUGCUCUUACGGGUGGCGAGUGGCGGACGGGUGAGGAAUACAUCGGAAUCUACUUUUUCGUGGGGGAUAACGUAGGGAAACUUACGCUAAUACCGCAUACGACCUACGGGUGAAAGCAGGGGAUCUUCGGACCUUGCGCGAUUGAAUGAGCCGAUGUCGGAUUAGCUAGUUGGCGGGGUAAAGGCCCACCAAGGCGACGAUCCGUAGCUGGUCUGAGAGGAUGAUCAGCCACACUGGAGCUGAGACGCGGUCCAGACUCCUACGGGAGGCAGCAGUGGGGAAUAUUGGACAAUGGGCGCAAGCCUGAUCCAGCCAUACCGCGUGGGUGAAGAAGGCCUUCGGUUGUAAAGCCCUUUUGUUGGGAAAGAAAAGCAGCAGGUUAAUACCCCGCUGUUCUGACGGUACCCAAAGAAUAAGCACCGGCUAACUUCGUG